AUUUUUUUGGGGCGGCUGUACUGUAGUUUACUUUUUCCACCCCUCCUCUUCCUCCUCCCACUAAAAACAAACAAGAUGGCAGCAACCGUUUUUGGUUCUGGGCCGGGCUCAAUGUGGGCGGAGUCAUACUUCGGGGCCGGGCUCAAAGUGGAUGGAAUCAAACGGCGGGGCCGGGCUCAAUGUGGCAGAGUCAUACUUCGGGGUCAGGCUCAAAAUACUUUGGGGCCGGGCUCAAAGUGGGUGGAGUCAAACGCGUUAACCCGAACCCUUCCCGUCUCCUUCAAGGUCACCCAAGUUCUUAAUCGAACCUGACCUACAUGGAUAAAAAUAUAAACCAUAGAAUUACACAUAGCGAGUCUACACAAAGUGUAAAUACAAUAAUGAAAUCACCUGGUCCCAACAUGCAUGGCAAGUCAAGAAAAGUCAUUGUAACUUGUCCACACUGCAAACUGAAGUUAAAUAAGAAAAACUUCAAAACACAUUUACGAAGAAAGCAUACACAUUGCUUUGAAACAGUGUCCAAUGCAAGAUUUUUGUCAGAAACAUUGCUCAGAUCUUGUCCUGUGGACCUUGGAGGACUUUUGUUGUGGAUGAUGUUCAGGAAAACAUGCAGCAAAUUAGGCCAUGGUGGCGCCUAGUUCUCCUGCAGAACUUUCCCAUGCCGAUGAUGUAGAAGACGUCCUCCACACCAAGAAGUCACAGCAUGUCACAUCAGCAUCCAGCUCUGCAGGAUCAGAUGAUACUGAAAACAAAAUGCACGGCGAGCUGUGAACUGGGAAGCAGAUGUUCUUCUAAGGGACACCUUGGAGGCAGCAAGGUGGUGCGAACGCCAAACAUUUAAAGGCACUGUUUCCCUCCCUAGUGUAAUUGGGAUGGACGGGGAAUACCCCAUUACAACCCUUAAAGAACUACGGUGGUAUGAUGGCCUGGAUGAAGAGGAAAAUAUUCUCAAGGAACCAUUCAUGUUACAGAGAAAUUAAGAUGUUCUAUGUGGAGGAAGUUGACAACAAGAAAAUGACUGCCUUUGCCUCUUUUGAGGAGCAGGAGUGAAGCCAUUUUUGAGGAGUGGUCAAACCUUGUUUUUGUCUGCUGUGUUAAUUGUUUCAAUUGUUAAUUGUGUUAAGUUGUUUAGUAAAGAUGACGUUGAAGUCACAAGUCUCUGAUCUCUUUACUGGAG
rnacentral:lncRNA from 1 species